GACGAACGCUGGCGGCGUGCUUAACACAUGCAAGUCGAACGGAAAGGCCCUGCUUUUGUGGGGUGCUCGAGUGGCGAACGGGUGAGUAACACGUGAGUAACCUGCCCUUGACUUUGGGAUAACUUCAGGAAACUGGGGCUAAUACCGGAUAGGAGCUCCUGCUGCAUGGUGGGGGUUGGAAAGUUUCGGCGGUUGGGGAUGGACUCGCGGCUUAUCAGCUUGUUGGUGGGGUAGUGGCUUACCAAGGCUUUGACGGGUAGCCGGCCUGAGAGGGUGACCGGCGACAUUGGGACUGAGAUAGGGCCCAGAAUCCUACGGGAGGCAGCAGUGGGGAAUAUGGCGCAAUGGGCGGAAGCCUGAUGCAGCAACGCCGCGUGCGGGAUGGCGGCCUUCGGGUUGUAAACCGCUUUCGCCUGUGACGAAGCGUGAGUGACGGUAAUGGGUAAAGAAGCACCGGCUAACUACGUG
rnacentral:rRNA from 1 species